UACGUAGGGUGCAAGCGUUGUCCGGAAUUAUUGGGCGUAAAGAGCUCGUAGGCGGUCUGUCGCGUCUGCUGUGAAAACUCAGGGCUUAACCCUGAGCUUGCAGUGGGUACGGGCAGACUAGAGUGCGGUAGGGGAGACUGGAAUUCCUGGUGUAGCGGUGAAAUGCGCAGAUAUCAGGAGGAACACCGGUGGCGAAGGCGGGU
rnacentral:rRNA from 1 species